CCCAGUUGUCAGAACCACGCUAAUGAUCGUGUUGCUAUGAGGAUUGUGUAUGUGUAAUGACAGGAGCAAACGGUACAUUAUUCGACCGUUUCUAAAGUUAUUGGUUAGAAUCCUAACCAACGGAUUAAAUGCUAACCUGUUCAGGAGGUGAUCGGAUGUUGACUGGUAAUUGACUGAUCACACAGUAUGCUAACCUGUUUGUAGGAAACACGGCAAAGUAACUUGUUUAUCGGAGAACCUAACGAUAAAGAUUGCACUGCAAUACAUCCGAGAGGAUUACUAAAGAAUGCAAACUGUAGUAAUAUCGCCCUACCUAUAUGUGAAAAAGAGUUUUUAAACAUCUGCCCCCAAGAAUAUAAUCGUCAGAAUUCAUCUGUAUGCUUACCGUAUGAUAAGUGUUGUGACAGUCUGAAAAAUUGUUUUGAAGGAAAUGACGAAUAUUAUUGCAACAAUAAAUGCCCAGCUGGUUGCACCUGUAAAAAAUUUGGAAUUAUGUGCUAUGGAAUUGAAUGGAAUGAAACGAUAUUAAUCAAACCUUUUAUAAAGUACCUAAAACUGGAUACCAUUCGUGGAUUAAAGGUUUUACCGAUCAACAUGGACUACCCAAUACUCCAAAUAGCCAAAUUUCCUGGAAAUGAAAUUCAAGAUAUUGUACCAGGUAUAUUCCUGAAUCAGACAAUGAUGGAGGAAUUUACGUAUACAUAUCCUUUGCGAACAUUAACAAGAUAAUAAUCAGGGGCGGAUCCAGGAUUUGAAGAAGUUUCAGCAGUGGUGACUAGCAGGGUACAUCCAUCUUCAAUAACAUGUGGACAUUCGGGAAGGCAUCUUUAUCACACAACUAUAAACGAAAAAGUAAUUGUCACAGUAUAAAAUGUUGAGGAUAGAACACUAGUAUGACAAAAUAUAAUAGUAUAGACUGUAAUAUAAGUAUAAUAACUCACAUGACUUCUAAACAUACUACUGAAAAAAAAAACCAACCUGAUUACCUUUAAAGCAUCCUGUAGACAAUCAGGUACAAUCACAUGGUCUAUGGCUUUCUGCGUUGACCACUUUUUCUUCCAUCUAAUACAACAAUGUGUAUUUUUAGAGAUGUUUCCUGCCACUAAAAUAGCGUAAUUAUACAUAUAAAAUGACAUCGUUUACACACAUAAGUGUUGCUUACCUGUUGAGCUUCAAGUCCAGUGUCUCUGCAUUAUCUAGAUCAUCUUCAUACAUGGAAAACAUUUCCCUUGUAAUAUCGAAUCCAUCCACAGGAUGGAAUAAGAGUCAUCAAGUGUGCUGAUUUUUCUUGAAAUGGUCCAAACCUAAAAAAAUAUAUGAUACACAAAAAGGGUUUAAUUAAAUGUCAUCAAA